rnacentral:rRNA from 1 species
GAUGAACGCUGGCGGCGUGCCUAAUACAUGCAAGUCGAGCGAACAGAUAAGGAGCUUGCUCCUUUGACGUUAGCGGCGGACGGGUGAGUAACACGUGGAUAACCUACCUAUAAGACUGGGAUAACUUCGGGAAACCGGAGCUAAUACCGGAUAACAUAUUGAACCGCAUGGUUCAAUAGUGAAAGGCGGCUUUGCUGUCACUUAUAGAUGGAUCCGCGCCGUAUUAGCUAGUUGGUAAGGUAACGGCUUACCAAGGCAACGAUACGUAGCCGACCUGAGAGGGUGAUCGGCCACACUGGAACUGAGACACGGUCCAGACUCCUACGGGAGGCAGCAGUAGGGAAUCUUCCGCAAUGGGCGAAAGCCUGACGGAGCAACGCCGCGUGAGAGAUGAAGGUCUUCGGAUCGUAAAACUCUGUUAUCAGGGAAGAACAAAUGUGUAAGUAACUGUGCACAUCUUGACGGUACCUGAUCAGAAAGCCACGGCUAACUACGUG